rnacentral:rRNA from 1 species
CAGCAGCCGCGGUAAUACGAAGGGUGCAAGCGUUAAUCGGAAUUACUGAGCGUAAAGGGCGCGUAGGCGGCGAUCAAAGUCAGGCGUGAAAUUCCUGGGCUCAACCUGGGGGCUGCGCUUGAUACUUGGUUGCUUGAGUGGGGAAGAGGGUCGUGGAAUUCCCAGUGUAGAGGUGAAAUUCGUAGAUAUUGGGAAGAACACCGGUGGCGAAGGCGGCGACCUGGUCCUUGACUGACGCUGAGGCGCGAAUGCGUGGGGAGCAAACAGGAUUAGAUACCCCCGUAGUCCCUGUCUCUAUACA